AGAGUUUGAUCCUGGCUCAGGAUGAACGCUAGCGGGAGGCUUAACACAUGCAAGUCGAGGGGCAGCACGGGUAGCAAUACUUGGUGGCGACCGGCAGACGGGUGAGUAACGCGUACGUAACCUACCCCAUACAGAGGGAUAACUCGAAGAAAUUCGGACUAAUAUCUCAUAAGACCACACGAGGACAUCCGAGAGUGGUUAAAGUUCCGGCGGUAUGGGCUGGGCAUGCGUAACAUUAGCUAGUUGGUAAGGUAACGGCUUACCAAGGCUUCGAUGUUUAGGGGUCCUGAGAGGGUGGUCCCCCACACUGGUACUGAGACACGGACCAGACUCCUACGGGAGGCAGCAGUGAGGAAUAUUGGUCAAUGGGCGCAAGCCUGAACCAGCCAUCCCGCGUGCAGGAAGACGGCCCUAUGGGUUGUAAACUGCUUUUCCAGGGGGCGAAUAGCUCUUACGUGUAAGGGUAUGACUGUACCUUGGGAAUAAGCAUCGGCUAACUCCGUGCCAGCAGCCGCGGUAAUACGGAGGAUGCGAGCGUUAUCCGGAUUCAUUGGGUUUAAAGGGUGCGUAGGCGGAUUAAUAAGUCAGCGGUGAAAUCCUACAGCUUAACUGUAGAACUGCCGUUGAUACUGUUAGUCUUGAGUUUGGUUAAGGUAGGCGGAAUGUGUAAUGUAGCGGUGAAAUGCUUAGAGAUUACACAGAACACCAAUUGCGUAGGCAGCUUACUGGACCGACACUGACGCUGAGGCACGAAAGCGUGGGGAUCGAACAGGAUUAGAUACCCUGGUAGUCCACGCCGU
rnacentral:rRNA from 1 species